GUGUAGCGGUGAAAUGCGUAGAUAUAUGGAAGAACACCAGUGGCGAAGGCGGCUGUCUGGUCUGUAACUGACGCUGAGGCUCGAAAGUAUGGGUAGCAAACAGGAUUAGAUACCCUGGUAGUCCAUACCGUAAACGAUGAAUGCUAAGUGUUGGAGGGUUUCCGCCCUUCAGUGCUGCAGCUAACGCAUUAAGCAUUCCGCCUGGGGAGUACGGCCGCAAGGCUGAAACUCAAAGGAAUUGACGGGGGCCCGCACAAGCGGUGGAGCAUGUGGUUUAAUUCGAAGCUACGCGAAGAACCUUACCAGGUCUUGACAUACUAUGCAAAUCUAAGAGAUUAGACGUUCCCUUCGGGGACAUGGAUACAGGUGGUGCAUGGUUGUCGUCAGCUCGUGUCGUGAGAUGUUGGGUUAAGUCCCGCAACGAGCGCAACCCUUAUUAUCAGUUGCCAGCAUUAAGUUGGGCACUCUGGUGAGACUGCCGGUGACAAACCGGAGGAAGGUGGGGAUGACGUCAAAUCAUCAUGCCCCUUAUGACCUGGGCUACACACGUGCUACAAUGGAUGGUACAACGAGUUGCGAACUCGCGAGAGUAAGCUAAUCUCUUAAAGCCAUUCUCAGUUCGGAUUGUAGGCUGCAACUCGCCUACAUGAAGUCGGAAUCGCUAGUAAUCGCGGAUCAGCAUGCCGCGGUGAAUACGUUCCCGGGCCUUGUACACACCGCCCGUCACACCAUGAGAGUUUGUAACACCCAAAGUCGGUGGGGUAACCUU
rnacentral:rRNA from 2 species